GAUGAACGCUGGCGGCGUGCCUAAUACAUGCAAGUCGAGCGAACAGAUGAGGAGCUUGCUCCUCUGACGUUAGCGGCGGACGGGUGAGUAACACGUGGAUAACCUACCUAUAAGACUGGGAUAACUUCGGGAAACCGGAGCUAAUACCGGAUAAUAUAUUGAACCGCAUGGUUCAAUAGUUAAAGACGGUUUUGCUGUCACUUAUAGAUGGAUCCGCGCCGCAUUAGCUAGUUGGUAAGGUAACGGCUUACCAAGGCAACGAUGCGUAGCCGACCUGAGAGGGUGAUCGGCCACACUGGAACUGAGACACGGUCCAGACUCCUACGGGAGGCAGCAGUAGGGAAUCUUCCGAAAUGGGCGAAAGCCUGACGGAGCAACGCCGCGUGAGUGAUGAAGGUCUUCGGAUCGUAAAACUCUGUUAUUAGGGAAGAACAAAUGUGUAAGUAACUAUGCACGUCUUGACGGUACCUAAUCAGAAAGCCACGGCUAACUACGUG
rnacentral:rRNA from 1 species